AUUGAACGCUGGCGGCAGGCCUAACACAUGCAAGUCGAGCGGAUGAAGGGAGCUUGCUCCUGGAUUCAGCGGCGGACGGGUGAGUAAUGCCUAUGAAUCUGCCUGGUAGUGGGGGAUAACGUCCGGAAACGGGCGCUAAUACCGCAUACGUCGUGAUGGAGAAAGUGGGGGAUCUUCGGACCUCACGCUAUCAUAUGAGCCUAGGUCGGAUUAGCUAGUUGGUGGGGUAAAGGCCUACCAAGGCGACGAUCCGUAACUGGUCUGAGAGGAUGAUCAGUCACACUGGAACUGAGACACGGUCCAGACUCCUACGGGAGGAAGCAGUGGGGAAUAUUGGACAAUGGGCGAAAGCGUGAUCCAGCCAUGCCGCGUGUGUGAAGAAGGUCUUCGGAUUGUAAAGCAAUUUAAGUUGGGAGGAAGGGCAGUAAGUUAAUACCUUGCUGUUUUGACGUUACCAACAGAAUAAGCACCGGCUAACUUCGUG
rnacentral:rRNA from 1 species